UCCCUCCAGAUUCCUUACCCCUCAAACCUAAAGAGUGGUCUAAGUGGCUUUCCAAAAAGAUGAGGCAAAGCAAAACCGAAAUAGACUUUGGGUCUUUAGUGACAAGUUCAUCUCAAACACAC
rnacentral:snoRNA from 1 species